rnacentral:rRNA from 2 species
UACGAAGGGUGCAAGCGUUACUCGGAAUUACUGGGCGUAAAGCGUGCGUAGGUGGUUUGUUAAGUCAGAUGUGAAAGCCCCGGGCUCAACCUGGGAAUUGCAUUUGAUACUGGCUAACUAGAGUGAGGUAGAGGAGAGUGGAAUUCCCGGUGUAGCAGUGAAAUGCGUAGAGAUCGGGAGGAACAUCAGUUGCGAAGGCGGCUCUCUGGACCAUCACUGACACUGAGGCACGAAAGCGUGGGGAGCAAACAGG